CGAACCUGAUACCUUAGAGGAUGUUAGUGGUCGCUUUCUUUACCUACUUGAUCAAGGACAACGUAGAGAGCAAACAGGCGGUUUUGAUAGAAAAUCUACUGGAGAUGAUUCUGGAUUUCCAGCUGGACCAGAGCUGCUUGGUGCGGAACUCCUGAACAGUUUGCCAGGGUACAAAUUUCAUCCCUUUCAAGUUACCGCAGCAGUGAGGAUCAAGUUGCUAUUCAGUCAAGAGGAUCCACGUCUAAGGAGAUACUCGAUCCAGUUAUUAGAAGAUCUGGCAACAUCCCUUGGCUAGGAGACCAAUUUGGAGGCAUUUAAGGAGCAGAUCCAAGGGAACCUCAUCACUUUACUCUUGCAUCUAUGCGAUCCAGACGUGUAUGUUGUCAAGGCCUGUAAAAGUACGAUCCAGAAGGUCGGCCCUUAUCUGAAUUGUCCGAAGGUAAACCGCAUAAUCCAGGAGUGUAUGGGCGACGACACCGACUUGAUGUUCACGGAUUUUAUUGGGGAGAUAAUUAAACGCAUGCUCUCUCUGCAUCGACCAGAACCAACAUCUCCGAAACAACAACAUCUCAAAAAUGACCGAAACAAUGGUGGGGGACGUAUGUCGAGACAUGCAGCUCAUUUUGUCAUGGAUCGUCUCCUUUAUGGGCACAUUAUUCGGUCGAACCUGAUACCUUAGAGGAUGUUAGUGGUCGCUUUCUUUACCUACUUGAUCAAGGACAACGUAGAGAGCAAACAGGCGGUUUUGAUAGAAAAUCUACUGGAGAUGAUUCUGGAUUUCCAGCUGGACCAGAGCUGCUUGGUGCGGAACUCCUGAACAGUUUGCCAGGGUACAAAUUUCAUCCCUUUCAAGUUACCGCAGCAGUGAGGAUCAAGUUGCUAUUCAGUCAAGAGGAUCCACGUCUAAGGAGAUACUCGAUCCAGUUAUUAGAAGAUCUGGCAACAUCCCUUGGCUAGGAGACCAAUUUGGAGGCAUUUAAGGAGCAGAUCCAAGGGAACCUCAUCACUUUACUCUUGCAUCUAUGCGAUCCAGACGUGUAUGUUGUCAAGGCCUGUAAAAGUACGAUCCAGAAGGUCGGCCCUUAUCUGAAUUGUCCGAAGGUAAACCGCAUAAUCCAGGAGUGUAUGGGCGACGACACCGACUUGAUGUUCACGGAUUUUAUUAGGGAGAUAAUUAAACGCAUGCUCUCUCUGCAUCGACCAGAACCAACAUCUCCGAAACAACAACAUCUCAAAAAUGACCGAAACAGUGGUGGGGGACGUAUGUCGAGACAUGCAGCUCAUUUUGUCAUGGAUCGUCUCCUUUAUGGGCACAUUAUUCGGUCGAACCUGAUACCUUAGAGGAUGUUAGUGGUCGCUUUCUUUACCUACUUGAUCAAGGACAACGUAGAGAGCAAACAGGCGGUUUUGAUAGAAAAUCUACUGGAGAUGAUUCUGGAUUUCCAGCUGGACCAGAGCUGCUUGGUGCGGAACUCCUGAACAGUUUGCCAGGGUACAAAUUUCAUCCCUUUCAAGUUACCGCAGCAGUGAGGAUCAAGUUGCUAUUCAGUCAAGAGGAUCCACGUCUAAGGAGAUACUCGAUCCAGUUAUUAGAAGAUCUGGCAACAUCCCUUGGCUAGGAGACCAAUUUGGAGGCAUUUAAGGAGCAGAUCCAAGGGAACCUCAUCACUUUACUCUUGCAUCUAUGCGAUCCAGACGUGUAUGUUGUCAAGGCCUGUAAAAGUACGAUCCAGAAGGUCGGCCCUUAUCUGAAUUGUCCGAAGGUAAACCGCAUAAUCCAGGAGUGUAUGGGCGACGACACCGACUUGAUGUUCACGGAUUUUAUUAGGGAGAUAAUUAAACG
rnacentral:lncRNA from 1 species